UACAGGGGAUGCAAGCGUUAUCCGGAUUGAUUGGGCGUAAAGCGUCUGUAGGUGGCUAAAGAAGUCCACGGUUCCAGCCCAGGGCUUAACCCUGGAUCAGCCGUGGAAACUCUUUGGCUUGAGUACGGUAGGGGCAGAGGGAACUCCCGGUGUAGCGGUGAAAUGCGUAGAGAUCGGGAGGAACACCGAUGGCGAAAGCGCUCUGCUGGGCCGAAACUGACACUGAGAGACGAAAGCUAGGGGAGCGAAUGGG
rnacentral:rRNA from 1 species